rnacentral:siRNA from 1 species
AUAGGCUGAUUGAGGUAUGUUUGG